rnacentral:rRNA from 1 species
AGUCGACGGGAUUUAGUAAACAGAAGCUUCGGUGGAAGAUUACUAAUGAGAGUGGCGAACGGGUGAGUAACGCGUGAGCAACCUGCCUAUGACAGUGGGAUAGCCUCGGGAAACCGGGAUUAAUACCGCAUAAAAUCGUAGAAACACAUGUUUUAACGGUCAAAGAUUUAUCGGUCAUAGAUGGGCUCGCGUCUGAUUAGCUAGUUGGUGAGAUAACAGCCCACCAAGGCGACGAUCAGUAGCCGGUCUGAGAGGAUGAACGGCCACAUUGGAACUGAGACACGGUCCAAACUCCUACGGGAGGCAGCAGUGGGGAAUAUUGCACAAUGGGGGAAACCCUGAUGCAGCGACGCCGCGUGAACGAAGAAGGUAUUCGUAUCGUAAAGUUCUGUCCUAUGGGAAGAUAAUGACAGUACCAUAGAAGAAAGCUCCGGCUAAAUACGUGCCAGCAGCCGCGGUAAUACGUAUGGAGCGAGCAUUGUCCGGAAUUAUUGGGCGUAAAGGGUACGCAGGCGGUUUAAUAAGUCGAAUGUUAAAGAUCGGGGCUCAACCCCGUAAAGCAUUGGAAACUGAUAAACUUGAGUAGUG